rnacentral:rRNA from 1 species
UACGUAGGUGGCAAGCGUUGUUCGGAAUUAUUGGGCGUAAAGGGCGCGUAGGCGGCUUGUUAAGUCGGCUGUGAAAGCCCGGGGCUCAACCCCGGAGGGUCAGCCGAUACUGGCAGGCUAGAGUACGGAAGAGGUAGCUGGAAUUCCCGGUGUAGCGGUGAAAUGCGUUGAUAUCGGAAGGAACGCCGGUGGCGAAAGCGACCUGCUGGAUCUCUACUGACGCUGAGGCGCGAAAGCCAGGGGAGCGAACGGG